rnacentral:misc_RNA from 1 species
GAUGAAGAACGUAGCGAAAUGCGAUAAGUAAUGUGAAUUGCAGAAUUCAGUGAAUCAUCGAAUCUUUGAACGCACAUUGCGCCCAUUAGUAUUCUGGUGGGCAUGCCUGUUCGAGCGUCAUUAAUUCCACUUAAGCCCUGCUUAGUGUUGGGAAUCUACUCUAGUGGUGCUACCCUGGAGCUACCCCUGAAAGGGGGCUGGCCCGGUAGCUACCCUGUAGUUCCUCAAAGAUAGUGCGCGGAGUUGCGUGGUCCUCUGAGCUUAGUAACUAUACACCUAGCUUUUGAGUGUCCCGCGGCGCCUGCCGUUUAAACCCCAUCUUUUAAUGGUUGACCUCGGAUCAGGUAGGAAUACCCGCUGAACUUAAGCAUAUCAAUAAGCGGAGGA